CCUACGGGACGCAGCAGUGAGGAAUAUUGGUCAAUGAACACAAGUCUGAACCCGCCAUGCCGCGUGCAGGAAGACGGCUCUAUGAGUUGUAAACUGCUUUUGUACGAGGGUAAACGCAGAUACGCGUAUCUGUCUGAAAGUAUCGUACGAAUAAGGAUCGGCUAACUCCGUGCCAGCAGCCGCGGUAAUACGGAGGAUUCAAGCGUUAUCCGGAUUUAUUUGGUUUAAAGGGGGCGUAGGCGGUCGGAUAAGUUAGAGGUGAAAUCCCGAGGCUCAAAUUCGGAAUUGCCUCUGAUACUGUUCGGCUAGAGAGUAGUGGCGGUAGGCGGAAGGUAUGGUGUAGCGGUGAAAUGCUUAGAGAUCAUACAGAACACCGAUUGCGAAGGCAGCUUACCAAGCUACUUCUGACGUUGAGGCACGAAAGCGUGGGGAGCAAACAGGAUUAGAUACCCGGGUAGUC
rnacentral:rRNA from 1 species